UACGUAGGGGGCAAGCGUUGUCCGGAAUCAUUGGGCGUAAAGAGCGUGUAGGCGGCCCGGUAAGUCCGCUGUGAAAGUCCAGGGCUCAACCCUGGGAUGCCGGUGGAUACUGUCGGGCUCGAGUCCGGAAGAGGAGUGUGGAAUUCUUGGUGUAGCGGUGAAAUGCGCAGAUAUCAGGAGGAACACCAAUGGCGAAGGCAGCACUCUGGGACGUGACUGACGCUGAGACGCGAAAAGCGUGGGGAGCAAACAGG
rnacentral:rRNA from 1 species